rnacentral:rRNA from 1 species
UACGAAGGGGGCUAGCGUUGUUCGGAAUUACUGGGCGUAAAGGGCGCGUAGGCGGUGUGUCAAGUCAGGCGUGAAAGCCCUGGGCUCAACCUGGGAACCGCGCUUGAGACUGGCACGCUAGAGUUCGGGAGAGGAUGGUGGAAUUCCCAGUGUAGAGGUGAAAUUCGUAGAUAUUGGGAAGAACACCGAUGGCGAAGGCAGCCAUCUGGACCGACACUGACGCUGAGGCGCGAAAGCGUGGGGAGCAAACAGG